CUGUGCCCGUUUCCAGGCCUAGGACUAAAGACACUGCAAGCUUUCAUUUCCUGGCCCUUGGAACACUCUCUUGGAGCCCAGAGUCACUCUGAUAAAGACAAAUUCAAAUUAUCAACAAAGAAAAAAGAAGUUAUCAGCAAAGGGAAAAAAAUCAAGAUUGGCUUCAGGAGUAACACUAGAUCACAGAAUAAAAAUGAACCCACAAACUUAGAAGGUGACUGGAUGAACAAAUUCUGAAGUAUACUCAGCAAUUACAGGAAUCAACUAGAUCCCCACAACAGCAUUAGUUGAAUCUCAGAAACAUCAUUCUGGAUGAAAGAAGCCAUACACAAAAGAGUAUGUACAAUAUUACUUCAUUCUUAUGAAAGUCUAGCGGGUAAAAUAAAUCUAUGGUGACAGAAAUAAAUUAACGGAUGCCUAGGAAACAGAUUGACUGCAAAGGGGCCAAAAGGAAUGUUUUGGAUUGAUGAAAAUGCUUAUUAUCUCUUGACUAUGAUGAUGGUUACAAAUUUGUGUACAUUGGUCAAGACUUGUCCAACUAUACACUUAAGGUGAGUGUGUUUUAUUGUAUUAAAUUGUUCUCAAUGAGAUUGCUUUUAAAAGAAAAAACAAAUAAAAAAGUAAAGCCCAACAAAUGCGAUUGAAAAAAAACUUUUUUAAGAUGAAAUUUGUACCUUUUAAGACACACAGGUAGAGAAUUUGUCAUCAACCCCCAUCCUAAAAGAAGUAUUAGAGUGAGCUGUUCACACAGAUGGAAAUAUGAUUCCUGAUGGAAGAAUGGAGACAGAAAGAUAAAGAACACUGGAAAUGGUCAAUAUGUGGGAAAUCUAAAUAACAAUUAUUAUGUUUGAAUCUAAUAAUAAUAAUCUUAAUAAUGAUCCGUCGGUUGUUAAAUUCAUGAAGAAAUAAAAUACGUGACAAUUGCACAAAAGGUGGAAGUUGGGUAAAUGGAGUCAAAGAGUGUUCUUGGCUCUUUGCAUUGUAACAGUGAUAAAUGUACUAAUUUAGGAUAUGUACCAGGGGGUCCAUGUUGUAAGCUCUAGGUCAAUCACUAACAAAAUAAUGACAGCAUAUAAUUCGUAAGCGGGAAAUGGAAGAAUAAGAACACAAUGCAUUCCAUCAAAAGGAAGGAAGGAGUUAAAGGAGAACGUAGAACAGAUGAGAUGACUAGAAAGCAAAUAGUAAGAUUAUAGAUUGAAAUCCAAAAUAAUCAGUCGUCACCAUCC